rnacentral:rRNA from 1 species
AUACGGAGGGUGCAAGCGUUGUUCGGAAUUAUUGGGCGUAAAGCGGAUGUAGGCGGUUUGUUAAGUCGGAUGUGAAAUCCCUGGGCUCAACCCAGGAACUGCAUUCGAUACUGGCAAACUAGAGUCUCGGAGGGGGUGGCGGAAUUCCCGGUGUAGAGGUGAAAUUCGUAGAUAUCGGGAGGAACACCAGUGGCGAAGGCGGCCACCUGGACGAUGACUGACGCUCAGAUCCGAAAGCGUGGGGAGCAAACAGGAUUAGAUACCCGCGUAGUCC